rnacentral:rRNA from 1 species
CAGUCGCCACGGGAAAACGGAGGGUGCAAGCGUUAUCCGGAUUUAUUGGGUUUAAAGGGUCCGUAGGCGGACUUAUAAGUCAGUGGUGAAAGCCUGUCGCUUAACGAUAGAACUGCCAUUGAUACUGUAAGUCUUGAGUAUAUUUGAGGUAGCUGGAAUAAGUAGUGUAGCGGUGAAAUGCAUAGAUAUUACUUAGAACACCAAUUGCGAAGGCAGGUUACCAAGAUAUAACUGACGCUGAGGGACGAAAGCGUGGGUAGCGAACAGGAUUAGAUACCCCCGUAGUCCCUGUCUCUAUACA